rnacentral:rRNA from 1 species
AUGGCCGGAGGAGACAACCUGAAGCUGGUCGGCAUGUGGGCGAGCCCACACGUCCUGCGAGUGCGGCUCGCUCUCCGCCUCAAGGGCCUGAGCUACGAGUUCGUGGAGAUGGAGGGGGAUCAAGGCCUCAAGAACAACAAGGGCGAGCAGCUGCUCCUUAACAGUAAGCUGCCGGUGCUGAUCCACGGCGGCAAGCCUGUCCGUGGUUCGUCCUUGAGCAUGAUACAGUACAUCGACGAGGCCUUCGCUGGCGUUGGCCCCUCCCUCCUCCCCGACGACCCCUCUGAGCGUGCAAUGGCUCGCUACUGGGCUGACUUUAUCAAUGACACGCUCGUGAAGGCGAUGCACAAGGCAGCAUGGGGCGAAACAGACGGGGAAAAGGCAAAGGGGAAGAACCAGGUGGCCUCCGCUGUGGAGACCCUAGAGGGCGCUCUGAGAGAGUGCUCCAAGCCCUUCUUUGGAGGCAACAUUGUCGGGUAUGUGGAUGUUGUGCUCGGUGGCCUUCUUGCAUGGGUGCGCACGACCAACGCAAUGCAAAGUGUUAAGACCUUCAACGACCCUGCCAUCACACCGCUCCUCGCCAUGUGGGCAGACCGUUUUGAUGCACUGAAAGCAGUCCAAGUGGUCAUGCCAGACGUGAGAAUGCUGGUCGAUUUUGCCAUGCCCAUGAUGUCGGCUCGCCGCUCUGGUGUCUGGUCGAUGGGGCCUCGUCGUUUACCUAUAUGUUUUUGCGGUUCUUCUGCAAAUGGUGGCGUCCUAUCUCACUUGGUUGGGUCGAGCCGAGGGUAA